UGCAUGCAUAUAUAUAUACAUACAUACACACACUACCAUCAAAAGAUUUAGAACAUAAAUAUAAAUAAAUAAAAUAAGACUCCAGUCACCCAAGUCAUAGACUCUUCUCUCUGCUACCGCACAGCAAGCGGUACCGGAGCGCCAAGUCUAGGACCCAAAAGGCUCUUUAGCAGCUUCUACCUCCAAGCCGUAAGACUGAUGAACAAUUAAUGAAAUGGCCACCCGGACUAUUUACAUUGGUUUAGUUUUUACACUGUUGCUACUCACUGUUUAUUAUCUAUGCAUAGUCACUUUACAAAUUACCUCGACCCACGCACACUGACUCGGUACAGGUACCCGUACCCCUGUAUAUAGCCUCGUUAUUGGUAUGUAAUUUCCUUGUAACUUUUUAUUUAUUUAAAAAAAAAGAUAUACUUUAGUUUAUUUACUAUAUAUUUUCUUAACUCUAUUUCUUGAACUGCAUUGUUGGUUAAGGGCUUGUAAAGCAUUUCACUGUAAGGUCUACUACACCUGUUGUAUUCAGCAUUUCACUGUGAGGUCUACUACACCUGUUGUAUUCAGCAUUUCACUGUGAGGUCUACUACACCUGUUGUAUUCAGCAUUUCACUGUAAGGUCUACUACACCUGUUGUAUUCAGCAUUUCACUGUGAGGUCUACUACACCUGUUGUAUUCAGCAUUUCACUGUGAGGUCUACUACACCUGUUGUAUUCAGCAUUUCACUGUAAGGUCUACUACACCUGUUGUAUUCAGCAUUUCACUGUAAG
rnacentral:lncRNA from 1 species